rnacentral:lncRNA from 1 species
GGGGGCUUCUACGUCCUUAGGUCAUUUUUAAUUUACUUUUUAAUUAUUAUUGUUAUUAUUUUUAUUUUCAGCGUUGCGCCGUAUUUCUUGUAAAACACGGCCAUUCGGGAAAAUUCAAUUGGCCAAUUUCCAUUUCUCGUGCAUCACUUUCACGGCAGAGGCUGUUCCCAGGACAAGUAUCGGCCCCAAAGCCCAAAGAGAAAUGAGGUGUCCGGUGUGGAAGUGCAUCUCAGUCAACAGCCAGCUCCUUUGGCCGGGGCUGGAAAUGGUUUUAACAGGCGGUAAAAUUUCAUCUUGUGGUGUCAAAUUGGGGUCAGUUUGGGGUUAGCGCUCUCAGUGUCCGAGAAGGAGCUGUCCAGCUGUGUGGGGAUUCAUUAAGGGCAAAAGAUCCGUUUCAAGAAAAACAAUACAAAGACAAUCAGAGAGCUAAAGAUCCUCUUCAAAUCGCAUUUUACAAGUGCACCAGAACAAAUAUGGACGCUGAAACCUAUUCCCUUCAAACUCCCAAAUCGGCUUCUUAGCCCUCGGAGGGAGGGAAAAUCCGCUGCAGCCCGGCCGGGUCUGCUUCCAAUCACCGCCCCGAGGUGCGCCGGGCCCCGCGCCGCCCUCGCCCGCUCCCCUCUCCCCUUCGGCGCAGCGCUGCGGAGCGAUGGCACCACAACAGGUAACAUCCCGGAAUGCGUCCCCCGGUGUGUCUGAGCCACUGCUGUGCGUGUGCCCGUGGGCGUGCAGCGGGAGCUUCCAUGCGAAUAGAAAGUUUGUUUUCGAGGGGACAGACCGUGCUUGUAUGAAACCCGCUCUCAUCCUUCGCAAAUGUCCCGCAGCCCUCUCAAGCAGCGCUGUGCUCCGAUAGAUAACGUGGAGUGGAUGUGCUGUGCGGUUCCCAGCAUCUGUGGGAAGCACCUAUUGCUAAUCUGGUUUAUUAAAUUCGCGUGGUUUAAAUCCUCUUAGCGCCCCUACAUCUGUUAGAACAAUUGACGCCUUGCUGCAGGGACAAAUAACUCCGGCCAUAAUCUCGUUUGUAACUUUAUUCAGUGUUUGUUUGUUUGUGCGCGGAGUUCGAGUAUUUGGGGGCGAUGCCAUUGUAUUCGGGAAUAUACCGUACAGCCAGAGCCGGAAUGGAUGGGCUGAGGGCAGAGCAGAGCGGAAUGAGUAAUUCCGAAUAUUGGAAGUGGCAUUUUAUCCCGAACCACCGUUCUAGGAGACGUGUCAGAGUUAAUGAAGAAAGCAAUCCACGUGUUAAUGCGUCUCCGGGCUUACAGCGUAACCGGGAUCCUGUGCAAAAUCCACGGGAUUUGUUCUUUCUGAUUCUCUCCCAAGACAACGCGUGGGGUGCAGAUAGUACCUCUGCGGUUUUGGAGUCAGGAUUAUUCC